rnacentral:lncRNA from 1 species
CCUGGUGCUUUUGUGACAUUCUCCUCAUAUAUCUGGUUUUUUUUUCUACAGUUAGAUUUUUCGCAAGAUUUUUACGGGGAGUUAUAUUAACACAUCCAUUCUUCUUUUCUAUGCACACCCCACAAACAAAUUAAUACAUAAUUUCUUACUUGUAUAAUCAAUCUUCAAAUUGACAUUAUAUUUUUUCGGAGCGCAAGAGUCGUUUAGUGAUUGUAAACGAU